rnacentral:rRNA from 1 species
AUUGAACGCUGGCGGCAAGCCUAACACAUGCAAGUCGAGCGGAUGAAGAGAGCUUGCUCUCUGAUUUAGCGGCGGACGGGUGAGUAAUGCCUAGGAAUCUGCCUGGUAGUGGGGGAUAACGUUCCGAAAGGAACGCUAAUACCGCAUACGUCCUACGGGAGAAAGCAGGGGACCUUCGGGCCUUGCGCUCUCAGAUGAGCCUAGGUCGGAUUAGCUAGUUGGUGAGGUAAUGGCUCACCAAGGCGACGAUCCGUAACUGGUCUGAGAGGAUGAUCAGUCACACUGGAACUGAGACACGGUCCAGACUCCUACGGGAGGCAGCAGUGGGGAAUAUUGGACAAUGGGCGAAAGCCUGAUCCAGCCAUGCCGCGUGUGUGAAGAAGGUCUUCGGAUUGUAAAGCACUUUAAGUUGGGAGGAAGGGCAGUAAGUUAAUACCUUGUUGUUUUGACGUUACCGACAGAAUAAGCACCGGCUAACUUCGUGCCAGCCGCCGCAGUAAUAC